rnacentral:tRNA from 1 species
GGCCUCAUGGUGCAAUGGUAGCACAUCUGACUCCAGAUCUAGAAGGUUGUGUGUUCAAGUCACACUGGGGUCA